rnacentral:rRNA from 1 species
GACGAACGCUGGCGGCGUGCUCAACACAUGCAAGUCGAACGGUAAGGCCUUUCGGGGUACACGAGUGGCGAACGGGUGAGUAACACGUGGGUGAUCUGCCCUGCACUCUGGGAUAAGCCUGGGAAACUGGGUCUAAUACCGAAUAGGACCAUGGACUUCACGGUUUGUGGUGGAAAGCUUUUGCGGUGUGGGAUGGGCCCGCGGCCUAUCAGCUUGUUGGUGGGGUAAUGGCCUACCAAGGCGACGACGGGUAGCCGGCCUGAGAGGGUGACCGGCCACACUGGGACUGAGAUACGGCCCAGACUCCUACGGGAGGCAGCAGUGGGGAAUAUUGCACAAUGGGCGCAAGCCUGAUGCAGCGACGCCGCGUGAGGGAUGACGGCCUUCGGUUGUAACCGUCUUCUAGCACAGACGAAGCGCAAGUGACGGUAUGUGCAGAAGAAGGACCGGCCGAACUACGUAGCCAGC